rnacentral:rRNA from 1 species
UACAGAGGUCCCAAGCGUUGUUCGGAUUCAUUGGGCGUAAAGGGUGCGUAGGUGGCGGGGUUAGUCAGGUGUGAAAUCUCGGGGCUCAACCCCGAAACUGCACUUGAUACUGCCUUGCUAGAGUACUGGAGAGGAGAUUGGAAUUUACGGUGUAGCAGUGAAAUGCGUAGAUAUCGUAAGGAAGACCAGUGGCGAAGGCGGGUCUCUGGACAGUUCCUGACGCUGAUGCACGAAGGCCAGGGGAGCAAACGGG